rnacentral:rRNA from 1 species
AGUGAACGCUGGCGGUAGGCCUAACACAUGCAAGUCGAACGGCAGCACAGUAAGAGCUUGCUCUUACGGGUGGCGAGUGGCGGACGGGUGAGGAAUACAUCGGAAUCUACUUUUUCGUGGGGGAUAACGUAGGGAAACUUACGCUAAUACCGCAUACGACCUACGGGUGAAAGCAGGGGAUCUUCUGACCUUGCGCGAUUGAAUGAGCCGAUGUCGGAUUAGCUAGUUGGCGGGGUAAAGGCCCACCAAGGCGACGAUCCGUAGCUGGUCUGAGAGGAUGAUCAGCCACACUGGAACUGAGACACGGUCCAGACUCCUACGGGAGGCAGCAGUGGGGAAUAUUGGACAAUGGGCGCAAGCCUGAUCCAGCCAUACCGCGUGGGUGAAGGAGGCGUUCGGGUUGUAAAGCCCUUUUGUUGGGAAAGAAAAGCAGCAGGUUAAUACCCCGCUGUUCUGACGGUACCCAAAGAAUAAGCACCGGCUAACUUCGUG